rnacentral:rRNA from 1 species
UACGGAGGGUGCGAGCGUUGUCCGGAAUCACUGGGCGUAAAGGGCGCGUAGGUGGCGCGGGCAGUCAACGGUGAAAGUCCAGGGCUCAACCCUGGAAUGCCGGUGGAUACUGCCGGGCUGGAGUCCGGAAGAGGCGAGUGGAAUUCCUGGUGUAGCGGUGAAAUGCGCAGAUAUCAGGAGGAACACCAAUGGCGAAGGCAGCUCGCUGGGACGGUACUGACACUGAGACGCGAAAGCGUGGGGAGCAAACAGG